rnacentral:rRNA from 1 species
GUAGGUGGCAAGCGUUGUCCGGAAUUAUUGGGCGUAAAGCGCGCGCAGGUGGUUCUUUAAGUCUGAUGUGAAAGCCCCCGGCUCAACCGGGGAGGGUCAUUGGAAACUGGGGAACUUGAGUGCAGGAGAGGAAAGUGGAAUUCCACGUGUAGCGGUGAAAUGCGUAGAUAUGUGGAGGAACACCAGUGGCGAAGGCGACCUUCUGGCCUGUAACUGACACUGAGGCGCGAAAGCGUGGGGAGCAAACAGGGAUUAGAUACCCUGGUAGUCCACGCCGUAAACGAUGAGUGCUAAGUGUUGGGGGGGUUUCCGCCCCCUCAGUGCUGCAGCUAACGCAUUAAGCACUCCGCCUGGGAGUACGGUCGCAAGACUG